GGGUGUGUAGUUCAAAGGUAGAAUGUUAGUCCUGCAAACUAAUGACUCCGGUUCGAUUCCGGACAUACCCA
rnacentral:tRNA from 1 species